AGAGUUUGAUCCUGGCUCAGGAUGAACGCUAGCUACAGGCUUAACACAUGCGAAGUCGAGGGGAAACGACAUCGAAAGCUUGCUUUGAUGGGCGUCGACCGGCGCACGGGUGAGUAACGCGUAUCCAACCUGCCCACCACUUGGGGAUAACCUUGCGAAGUAAGACUAAUACCCAAUGAUAUCUCUAGAAGACAUCUGAAAGAGAUUAAAGAUUCAUCGGUGUAUGGAUGGGGAGUGCGUCUGAUUAGCUUGUUGGCGGGGUAACGGCCCACCAAGGCAACGAUCAGUAGGGGUUCUGAGAGGAAGGUCCCCCACAUUGGAACUGAGACACGGUCCAAACUCCUACGGGAGGCAGCA
rnacentral:rRNA from 1 species